rfam:Oryza sativa Japonica Group DNA, chromosome 1, cultivar: Nipponbare, complete sequence.
GAGGAUAUGAUGAUCCUGUUCCCAGAUGAUAGACAAUGAACAUACUAUCCUC